CGAAAGCUGGCGGCGUGCUUAACACAUGCAAGUCGAACGAAGAGCGACGGAAGCUUGCUUCUAUCAAUCUUAGUGGCGAACGGGUGAGUAACGCGUAAUCCAACCUGCCCUUUCAGAGGGGGACAACAGUUGGAAACGACUGCUAAUACCGCAUACGAUCUAAUCUCGGCAUCGAGGAUAGAUGAAAGGUGGCCUCUACAUGUAAGCUAUCACUGAAGGAGGGGAUUGCGUCUGAUUAGCUAGUAGGAGGGGUAACGGCCCACCAAGGCGAUGAUCAGUAGCCGGUCUGAGAGGAUGAACGGCCACAUUGGGACUGAGACACGGCCCAGACCUCUACGGGAGGCAGCAGUGGGGAAUCUUCCGCAAUGCACGAAAGUCUGACGGAG
rnacentral:rRNA from 1 species